rnacentral:rRNA from 1 species
GACGAACGCUGGCGGCGUGCUUAAUACAUGCAAGUCGAACGGGAAGGCCCUUCUGUUGUGGGGUGCGCGAGGGGCGAACGGGUGAGUUACACGUGAGUAACCUUUCCUUGACUGUGGGAUAACUUCAGGUAACUCGGGCUCAUACCGUGUAGGAGCUCCUGCUGCUUUUUUUGGGUUGGACGGUGUCGGCGGUUGGGGAUGGACUCGCGGCUUUUAUGGGUGUUGGUGGGGUAGUGGCUGGCCAAGGCCUGUACGGGUGUCCGGCCUGAGAGGGUGAACGGCCACAUUGGGACUGAGAUACGCCCCAGCCUCCUACGGGAGGCAGCAGUGGGGAAUAUUGCACAAUGGGCGGACGCCUGAUGCAGCAACGCCGGGUGCGGGAUGACGGCCUUCGGGUUGUAAACCGCUUUCGCCUGUGACGAAGCGUGAGUGACGGUAAUGGGUAAAGAAGCACCGGCUAACUACGUG